UACGGAGGGUGCAAGCGUUAAUCGGAAUUACUGGGCGUAAAGCGAGUGUAGGCGGCUUCGUAAGUCGGAUGUGAAAGCCCCGGGCUCAACCUGGGAACUGCAUUCGAUACUGGCUUGCUAGAGUAUGGUAGAGGGUAGUGGAAUUCCAGGUGUAGCGGUGAAAUGCGUAGAUAUCUGGAGGAACAUCAGUGGCGAAGGCGGCUACCUGGACCAAUACUGACGCUGAGGUGCGAAAGCGUGGGGAGCAAACAGG
rnacentral:rRNA from 1 species